AGUGAACGCUGGCGGCGUGCCUAAUACAUGCAAGUCGAACGGAGUGGCGCACGGGUGAGUAAUGUAUAGCUAAUCUGCCCUACACUAGAGGACAAAAGUUGGAAACGGCUGCUAAUACUCUAUAGUGUAGGAUGAGGCUAUAUUGUAUCAGCUAGUUGGUGAGGUAAUGGCGCACCAAGGCUAUGACGCAUAACUGGUCUGAGAGGAUGAUCAGUCGAACUGGAACUGAGGCACGAUCCAGACACCUACGGGAGUCAGCAGUAGGGAAUAUUGCUCAAUGGGGGUAACCCUGAAGCAUCAACGCCGCGUGGAGGAUGACACUUUGCGGAGAGUAAACUCCUUUUGUUAGGAAAGCGGUACCUAACGAAUAAGCACCGGCUAACUCCGUGCCAGCAGCCGCGGUAAUAC
rnacentral:rRNA from 1 species